GAUGAAGAACGCAGCGAAAUGCGAUAAGUAAUGUGAAUUGCAGAAUUCAGUGAAUCAUCGAAUCUUUGAACGAACAUUGCGCCCGCCAGUAUUCUGGCGGGCAUGCCUGUCUGAGCGUCAUUUCAACCCUCAUGCCCCUAGGGCGUGGUGUUGGGGAUCGGCCAAAGCCCGCGAGGGACGGCCGGCCCCUAAAUCUAGUGGCGGACCCGUCGUGGCCUCCUCUGCGAAGUAGUGAUAUUCCGCAUCGGAGAGCGAUGAGCCCCUGCCGUUAAACCCCCAACUUUCCAAGGUUGACCUCAGAUCAGGUAGGAAUACCCGCUGAACUUAAGCAUAUCAAUAAGCGGAGGA
rnacentral:misc_RNA from 1 species